rnacentral:lncRNA from 1 species
GGAUCUGGCAAAGACAGAAUCAGUACAAUGACUGAGCAAUCUUUUCAUGAGAUUUAUGAUCCACCCAGGUCCAAGCCAAAGCAGGGAAGGAGGGAGUUUGUAUCCUCCUGUGGACAAAGAAGAGAUGAGCCUCCUUGUUGACAGGCUGACCUUCCCAGGAUCCUUAAACUGCCUGAAGCACAGUCUGCUGCAGGGAGAGGUGCACGCUUCCUCCUUGGGUCUCGGAUCAGGUGGGGAUAAAAGUUAUUGCUGCAGUUCCGUCACCAGCAUUAGAGGAAGCUCGGUGGAUGAGGUAAGGAAGAGCAUGAAUUUUGGAGACCAGAAAAAUUGUCUUGGAUCUCACUUUGUCAUUUUCUCCUGGGCAAACACUGUCACAUUAUUUUAUGUCUUGAUUAGAAUAGGCCCUUGAAAUACUCAAGGGAUAAUCUUGAGACAUGGAAUCCCUAAAUGCAAGAAUUCUACUGGAGCACUUGAGGAGGACUAGAAAGAUGGGAGAGAGAUGUGAGAAAAACAAACUCAAGUUGAAAUAGAGAUGCUGGCGAAUAAUCCCAUCUCACUCACUGGUUAAUCACUUGCUCCACUAAUGCAGCCUCCAAGUGGGCAUCCGCUUCCAGUGAAUGCUUCAGAAAAAUUACAAGUCCUGUCAUUUUCGGGUUACUGGAAAAUAGCCAAAAUCUCCAAUGUUAAAUCUGCAAAUGACAACAGUCUACUGUAAUACCUACUUCUUAGGUUUGUUGUAACCAAGAAAAAAUGUAACGCAAGUGAAGAGUUAGAACAUGGUGUGAUCAACAAAUGUGAGACUCCUCCCUUCCAAACUAAUGUUUGUUAGAUGAGUGAAAGAAUUUGGUAAGAGAAUUGCUUCUCUUCAGGUGGAAGUGUGAUAAGCGUAGGUGCUCUUUGGACAUAUUUUUCUAGAAUUCUCCAUCCUCAUCCUCUUUUGGAAAAUAUUGGCUGGGUCAAUACAUUGAUUUUGUGGUCAUAGAAGGAGGAAGUCAGGUCGCAGUUGCUCAUUCAUCCUUCCUCUCUCCUCUCUCUUCUCUAUUCUCUAUGAGGCUGGAUUUGUGCUCAUCCACAGUGUGUGUGUUGGAGAGGGGCAGUGUUAUUUUUAAAAUGUAUUUCCUUGUUUUUAACUGCAUUUUGGUAAAAUCAAAUUUUAUGUGGCUUAAAAGAUGCAUCACAGAAUUAACAUAAAUCUCAGAAUUAAAAAUAAGAAAGAAAAGUUAAGAGAAUCAACAGUCACAUAUUGGCAAUAUUUUGGUUCAUGUGGGAAGUCAGAGCAGGAAGGGCAAAAAGAAGUUGUCUGUAAUAAAUCAUGUAAAUCCCAUAAUUUCUUUCAUAUAUGCACAAAUUAAAUAAAACAUUUAAAAAAUUACUUCUAACACUUCUGGCAAACAAGGUACAAGUUUGCAUUUUAACAUCUCCUGAAAUAAAAGUAGAGAUGCACAAAAGAAAUAAAUCAAUAACAUUAAAGAAAAUGAAAUUGGGGAUGAACCAACAAGUGAUUUUAACAAAUUUCUGGGAGAUUGAAAAUGAACAGGAAUGGCUUGGUAUAUGAAACAGGCUGAAAAACAAUAGUUUUAUAGAUGACAAGGAGCUACAAGGAGAUAAGAGCUGAUCUGCUCUGCAGAAUCCCAGAAAAGUCUCUGGCCUUGGAGUUGACAGCAAGUGGGUGAGAAGUGGAGUUGAAAUCAGGGAAUUCCCUUGAGGUCUGUAAUGAAGCUGCUGCCACCAGUGGGUACCUCAGUGCCUCUUCCCCAACCAAGAGGGAGGCAGAUGGCACGUAGGGCUCCUCUUUAAAUAAACCAGACAACGUUUGGAGAAAGCAAAGAUGACGAGCCUUAAGUCAACUGUGGACAGAACAUAAGAGGCUUUGCUGUGCUCUCAGGAUGACAUGUAAAUAUCAAUGACCCUAUAAUGUGAACACGUAAAAGUGUAGCUGUUUGGAGGAGGAAAAGGACAUGUAGAAGGAAAGGUAAGGAUGCUAACACACUGAUAGCAUUAGUGUAGUCAUUCAUUCAUUCACUGGGUAAAUGUUUACUGAGAUCCUACUGGAUACAAGUGUUAUUCUAGGCACUUGGGAUACACAGAAAGGAAAAAAUUAGAUAGAGAGCCUAAUCUUCAUGGAGCUUCCACUGCAUCAUGCAUGCCACGAGUAACUGAGGCUGUAAGAGACAUUGCAAAAGCUGAUGGAAUAACAAAUAGAGGUUUAAAUAUAUUAUUUAAAGAUAUAAAGAUAACUAAUAGAAGAACCAUAAAUAAUAAUAACAUGCCUUGAGUAGAGAUGAGUAAGUGACCUGAAUUUUAAGCUCUCGUAUAUGAGGUUUGUAAGAUACUGUCUAAAGUGGAUAAAACAAAGCAGAGAUAAAAAGAUGAUAUCUAGAAUUAUGGAGGCAGCUACCAAAACAAAAAACAGGAACAACUGGAAGAGUUUCCCUCUGGGGUGUGGCAUUGAGGGUGAGAAGAGAGGAUGAGAAUGUUAUUUUGCUUUAAUCAUAAGUCCUAUUUGCUUUCUUACCACGUGAAUGUAUUAUAUUGAUUAAUAUAUACAUAUUUUAAAUUAAGUGACUUUUAAGAACAGGUACAAUCCAAGAAUGAGACUCAUUUUUCAUCUACCAAGCGUUAUGGGAUGAAGCACCAAGUCAUUAGAAAUGGAUUUUCCAUUCUGCAUCUUUUAGUAAGUGUUUAAAAAUAGAUACCAUUUCAUUGUCUUCUCUUGAUUGUAACAAAUGGUGGGGUCCAAAGAAUAGGUUUGCAAAGGUAAGUGCUGGGAGUGAAAGAUAGCAAGAAGUUUGUAGAGUGUAUUAUUAGAACAGCUUGGGUGUAGCUCAUUGGAACAAAAUAACGCUUUUGUUUCCAUCUUGUUUGCCUGUGCUAAGCUCCCAGUAUUUAGGAAAACGGAGCUAACAUUUAUUGAAUGCUUAUUUUGUAUAAAGCACUUUGCAUGUGGUAAGUCUCUUAACACACUCAACAACCUUAUGACAUUGGCAUUAAUUUUCACAUUUGACAGAUGAGGAGAUUGAAGAAUAGACAUAUGGAGAAGCUUGCUAAUGGCAAUCCUGUGUGUAAGUGGGGAGCUAGAUUUCCAACCUAGAUCUGUCUGACUCCAAAAGCUGUGCUCUUUCUUCCCUGACCCUUGGUUUUCCAGUGCAUAUUUUCUUAGAAAAAAAGGCCAAAUGUCAGUAAAAUUCCAUUAUAAGUUAUAUUUUCCACUAUAAGUCAAUAUUUUCUAUGAUGUAAAUUUCUGUAAGUGCCCAAUUUUUGUAGGUACCUCAGACACUUAGCUAGUGUGGUAAAUAUUUCAACAUCAAAUUGAUAAUAAAGGCACAUCUCUAUUAGUUUCUCAACAUUUGGACAAAAAGAAACCUUAUAAAGUUUUAUUUUCACUCUCAACCAAUAAUGUCAUUCCUAUUCCCUAUGUUGUAUUUGAAACUAUUCCUCAACUGUGGUUGAUCCCUGGACAACUCUUUUGGUCCAUCUCAUGACCAACUUUGCACACACACAAUUUCUUGUGUUGCUAUUAUCUGCUGGAAUGAGGCAAUGGUCCUCCCUUGAGCCCACUAGGUUAUCAAAAAGAGAUAUACUCUGGUAGCAAGUUAGAUGCACAUCAAUUUGGGGAAAAUGGUAGUAAUAAUGAUAACGCAAAAAUAAAGUAGCUCCUGUUUUGUGUACUUAUUAGGUGCUGGAUACUUUGCAUGCAUCAUUUCAUUUAAUCCUCUCUACAGAUCAAUAGGGCAGAUAUUGUGAUCAAUAUUUUACAAAUGGAAACUAUAACCCAGAGAGUUUAAGCAACUUGCUCAAACUUGUCAUGAGCUAGGGAGCUUAUAGAACUGGGAUUUGAACACUAGGUUUAAGAGCAUGCUUGUCAUGUUUCUGAAGUUGCCUGAUGGAUAAAUAAUUCUAUAAGUUCUUCCGUGCUAUCCUUUGGAAACAAGAUGGGCUGUUGAAUCGUAAAGUCGGAUGAAGUUUUAACUGUUGCUGUGACUGACCUAAAGAGGAUUUGCCUCCACCAAUGCUACCCUGGAGGGAGGUCCCAACUAGGGUCCCAAAGGUAUGGAACCUCCUGGAGUAGUUGGAGCUCACACUGAUAUAGGAAUCUGAUAAAAAAUAAAUUGAUGCUUCUUGUAUUUUGGUCAAGACUUACUGCUGUGACUUGUUCCCAUGAACCAACAUCCUCUUGUGAAGGAAGGGCCAAAGUUUCCUUUAUUCCCAAGAGAACUGAUUACAGUGACUGUUUCUAUUUUGGUAAGUUAUAUAAACAUGUUUCGGUGAGAGCAAAAAAAAGCAUAGCAUGUUUAGUGAUUCAGCAAAAAUGAGGAUGGCUUUGGUUAGACAAAAACAGUUCAAGUCUUCUUAUUAGUGCCAUUUCCACUGACUCUCAAAAACAUUGCUUUUAAAAUUGCCUUAAGAAGAAAAAUUAGACUGUUUUUUUUUUUUUUUUGAGGAAGAUCAGCCCUGAGCUAAUUACUGCCAGCCCUCCUCUUUUUGCUGAGGAAGCCUGGCCCUGAGCUAACAUCCGUGCCCAUCUUCCUCUACUUUGUAUGUGGGACGCCUACCACAGCAUGGUGUGCCAAGUGGUGCCAUGUCCACACCCGGGAUCUGAACCGGCGAACCCUGGGCUGCUGAAGUGGAACGUGCAAACUUAACAGCUGCGCCACCAGGCUGGCCCCCAAAAUUAGACUGUUUAUGAAAAUCCCUUUCAAGCUUAUGGUAGAAUCAUAGCAAAAGUGACUGUAGGGAGGACAUUUCCAGAAUGUCAAGAUCAUAAUUUGGUAUUUGGUCAGAUAUUGCCUUCCAGAUAAUACUCUCUGCCAGCUUUGAGGUUUCUGUGUUUUGGACUAACAAACUAUCAAAGUCAAUGUUUCUACACAUAAGAAUAAAGAAUGGAAUGGUUUUUCAAGCACCUUUCAGUUGAAACCUAGAUGCUUAGUCUGUUAACAUGGUGGUGUAUUUGCUGUUUGAGUUUUUUUCUUAUUUCAGGAAAUUAAUUUACUGAAAGCCAAGGUAACCCCAUUUCACUUCUCCCUAUCAAAACAGGUAAGCCCAGCUGUAAGACCGAUAUAAGGAGACAGGGUCAGACAACACUGGCAGGGUAGGCUUUCCAUGUGCACAAAAGAGUGUAAAUAUACCACUAAUGUAACCAACCUAAGUGGAAGUGAGGCACUUCAUUGGGGGGAUUUAUUGGAAAAUUAUAGUUUGAUUAUUCAUUCAUUCAACAAAUAUGUAUUGACCACUUACCAUGGUGACACAGCCUCUGACCUCACAAAGCUUGCAUUCUAACGGUGGAGACCAUCAAGUAAACAAGUGUAACCAGGAUAACAUUUUGAAAGUGCUAAACAGAUGUAGUUUUAAUUCCCAUUAAAUCACAAUAGCCUGAAGCUUGCCACCAUAUAUGCACACAGAUGGACCAUACAAUCCAAACUUGGGCUAAUAAGGCUUUGUUAUAAGGAUGAAUAAGAGCUGGGGGCUAAAUAGUGAUAGGCAGAAGUGCAAACAAGUUGAAAUCCUGGAUCCCAGUGAGAGCAUUUGAGGAACUGAAAGAAGUUCAGCUGGAAAUAAGUGGCUGGAAUCAAAAAGGAAGUGGCAAAAGAUGAGGAUGGAGAAGUGAGCCAAAGUACAUCAAGUAUGUCCAAUAAGCCUUAUUACCAUGUAUUUGAGGAAUGGAAAGGAGGCCCUUGUGACUGGAACUAUCUAAGUGGAAUAUUUAAAAUCAUCAUUAUAAGUGGUGACCAACUUGAACAUUAGAGUUCAAUUAGUCUAUCAACCUCGGGAACCAUGAUGUUGCUGUGAUCCAAUUUGGAUGAGCACCUUGUGUAAGCAAGAAAAAUGAAAAAGAAUUUGGGUGUUUGGUCAAGUUGCCGUCACAUCUGCACUGGAUAUAGGGGAGUGAUGGACUCUGCACAGCAUCCUAUGGGUGCACAUUCUCAAAUAUUCUAAGGUCUCAUUGUGACAAGAGUGGGCGUAGGCUCGGGUUCAGUAAACAGCAGCAGAAAGUCUUGUGAGGCAGCUCUGAUUCCUCUCCUCCCUGCCCUUACUAGGGGCAGCUUCCCCAGAGGAAUGGAAAUUAGCAUUCAUAAGAGGCUUUGUCUAUGUUCGCUGAAAGAGCUGUAGAGCCCUAUCAUGGGGUUGAAGGGAGGGUGAGACAGGCCUGUGGGGUGCUACAUAUGGUGGUUACUAUUUAACUAUAGGUAUCAGAGGGAUCCAGAGAGCUAGUCUAUAGCAUAUGUCUAAGAAAGAGUGCUAGGGAUCAAAACUAGAAAAAUCAAAUCAGUUAUGGGUCCAAGAGUCAAGCAAGAAUCCAGAAACAAGAUGAAGAGGAGAAAAAAGCUCAUGAGUGAAGGGGUCUAGGUCUGGAACUUUUGCAAUGAGCAGAGUAAUGACACUUGGGUUCUCCUUAGUUGGGCACCAGCUGUACUUGCAUGAAUAAGUCAGCCUCAGUUAAGACAUAGGGUCAUAGUAGACAUGUAAAGAAAUGAGGAACACUGCUGACAGAUGGACACUGGGAACUACUGUCAAAAGAAACCAAGAAAAACCACAGCUGAGUGUUCCAAGAUGAAAAUGGCUCCUGGAAGGGUAAAUAGAGGAUCAGGCUGGGAGAUCACAUGACUCAGUGGUCUCUAUUCAGCUUUCUCUGAAAUUCUGAAAGAAGUCAUUUUGGUAUAAGAGAAAGGAAUAGAGAUAGAGGCAAACUGGGAAACAGAGACUCCUGGCAGGGCCUUAGACCAACUAGUACACAAUUAUAACCUCUUCUUGGAUGCCUGGUAGAGACUAAGAGAAAAGAUGACUGCAUAAAUCUAAGAGAUGCGUGGCGUCCUUUGUCACUGGUUUUUGGUUUGCAAACGGGCAGAUGAGAAAUGAGAUUCCUUCAAUGGUGACCUAAUGGCCUUUCACAUCCUAGUCAGUUUUUAUUAAUAGAUUGCCCUUUAUGAUAAUAAAUUUUCCUUCUUUGUAAUUUUCCUUAUACCCAAGCAGAAAAUAUAUUUACACCAGAGUCGUUUCUUUCCUUUAGGGCCAGAAACUAUUUGGGGGAGUCUCUGGCAGGGUGUUUGUUUUUCUUAUUUUUUUUAUGGUCUACUAUACAAGUUAUACAUGGUGAUUUGAAUUCAGAUUAAAGCAAUCUAUGAAGUCAAGAGAAAUCUAUGAAGUUGUUAAAAUAGGGAACUAAAUAUCCCUGAGUCUGAGGUUUUGAAGUCAAUUGAAACACAAACACAUUAAGUAAUCCUGCACGUGUCCUUUGGCUCGGUCUAUUUCCUUCAAGUGUGUGGUUUAUCUUUGUGUAAAGAGACUUAAAAUAAAUUAUGCUUAAAAUAGUAUUAUAAAAAUGAUUUUAUAAUUAAAUUAUUGUAAUUAAAUUAAUUUAAAUUGGCUUAAAUCUUUGACAAAAUUGAAAAAUACAAACUUUAAGACACAUUAUAUUGAAGUAAAUAAGGUAGGAGGAAGACUACGUCCAUAGUUAGGCUAAAAGCAGUCAAUGAGCACAAAACUUAGAUGUGAGUUUCUUGAUUGUUAGAGCACAAAUAAAUCAUGUUGGAUUCUAUAUUUCUCAUGAUCUAACCUAAGGAAUUAUACCUUUGUAUCCAAAUGGACAUUUUGUUUUCCCCAACACUCUAGGAGAAAUUUAUCACAAAAAUCAUUAUAUAAGAGACCUUUAGCAAGAUGGUAGACAAUACAUUCAGUUCACAGUUGAGGAAAUGCAGAAACAGUCUUCAUGUGGUUAUUUCUUAUAACAACCCUUUCUACAAUAGGAGGUAAAAUGUUAAGUCUAAUUUGAGAAAGUAUGACUUUGUGAGAGUAAAUUAGUAAUGGGAUUUUUGUGCGUGUGUGAUCUGAUGGUGGCAGUGGUAAACUGUUGAGAAGCUGGGGCAAUGAGCUCCCCCUCAUGAUUCAGAUGUCCCAGAUGAGCUUGUGAGAAGAGGAGUAGAGAAGAAAAUUCAAAAGCAAGCCUGCUCCAGAAAUGGCAAGCAUCUGGGUUGUAAGUUGAUGGGAGAUCCUCAUGUAGCCACUACCUGUGUAGGAAGCAAGGUCAAAGUUGUUAGGCAAGUUAAAGAGCCUUUUGCAAACUCUUGCCCAGAUGAAAGUUCUACUUCGAUUUUCACAGAAGUGGAUUGUCAUGAAAACAAGGUUUGGGAAAAAUUAAUGCUUGUGGUUUCCACAUACUAAAUUGGCUACUGGCAUAUUAUUCAAAGAGAAUAUAAAGCAUUCAUUGACUAUCUGAAUAAAAAAACUGCUUAAACUCUCAUUUUCCAGCUCAUGUGGUGGGAUAUACUAUUGACACAGCUGUCUUAACCUAUGUGUGGCAAAAUAUUAGCUUACUAAAGACCAUUCCUCAUCACCAUUUUCCUUAGAGGAGUAUCAUGCAAAAAAAGAGAAGCCCAUGGUAGUCAAGACUGUGGUAAGAAAACUUGCUUUGUACUCUCUUUUACUUGAAAUUUUUUAUUGAGCUGUAGAUUCACAUGCAGUUCUAAGGAGUAAUACAGAGAGAUCCUGUAUAUACUUUCCCCAGCUUCUCUCAGGGGUAACAUCUUGCAAACUACAGCAUUUCAGCACAACCAGGAUAUUGACAUUAAUACACUCCACUGAUCUUAUUCAGAUGUCCUCAGUUUUACUUAUACUCGUGUGAGUGUGUUUAGUUCUAUACAACUUUAUCAGGUCAUUUUCUGUAUCUAUCACCACAGUCAAGACACUGAACAAUUCCAUCACCACAAGGAUCCCUCCUGUUGCCUUUUUAUAACCAUACCCUCUUCUGUCCCCCUCUACACCUCUCACCCCCAUCCCUAAACCCUGGCAACUACUAAUAUGCCCUUCAUUUCUAAAAUUUUGUCAUUUCAAAAAUGUUAUAUAAAUGGAAUCAUAUAUUAUACAAACUUUAGGAUUGGCUUUUUUUACUCAGCCUAAUUCUCUGAAGGUCCGUCCAAGUUGUUGCAAGUAUCAAUAUUCAUUUAUUUUUGUUGUUGAGUAGUAUCCCAUGGUAUGGAUGCACCACAGUUUAUUCAUCUGUUGAAGGACACCUGGGCUGUUUCAAACUUUGGCUAUUACAAAUAAAGCUGCUAUGAAAAUUCAAGUGCAGCUUUUUGUGGGGACAUAGGUUUUACUUUCUCAGGGAUCAAUGCCCCAAAGUGCAAGGGCUGGCUUACUGCUUGUAAGUAAAUAAGUACAAUAGUAUUGAUUGUCUAGUUGUAUAACAAACUGUCAAGCUGUUUUCCAGAGUGGCUGUACCUUCUUACUUCCUACCAGCAAUGUAUGUGUGAUACAGUUUUUGCACAUCCUCACCAGCAUUUGGCAUUGUCAUUAUUUUCAUUUUAGCCAUUCUGAUGGGUGUACAGUAUUUUAUUGUGGUUUUAAUUUGCAUUUAUCUGAAUGGCUAAUGACGUUCGAUAUCUUUUCAUGUGCUUAUAUACCAUCCAAAUGUCCUCUUCAGUGAAAUCUCUGUUUGUAUCUUUUGUCCUGCUUUGUAUUCUAAAGUAUACAACUUUCUAGCUUCAGUAGUGGGUUUUUUUAAAUUAGAAAAAACAUUGAUACCAGGUACAAGACGUUUGUCAUUGUUUCAUUUCAGACAGAGACGCCAACCCAUUUCCCACAGAUAGAACCCUUAUAUUUGUACUCAAGAUUCACUUGAGGGCUCGGGAACCAAGGGUCAGGGAAAUGGCUUCCAGAACACUCUUUAAAACAUUUUUUUUUAGUUUCACAAAGUAUUUGGGAUACUUAGGUAUUGUAAUCACUUCAGUUAAUUAGUUAAUAAAUUAGGUCAAUAAUGGAAAAUAAAUUUACAUUAUUUUUAUACAUCUGAAUUGUAGGCAAUACUAUACUCCCCAUCAACAGCCAGGUGCAGCUAGAAGAAAACUUCCAAGAAGAGGCAGCAGAGUCUAUAAGAAGAUGUUGAACCUGUGUUGGGCAGCUGGUCUCAGCAGGGCCUGUAAGACAAGCAUCAAUUGCCAACCCUCGGCAUGUGGUUUAUUAUCAGUGAGUGGCAGUAGAGAACUGACUGAGUGCCAAGAGAAGCUGGAACCUCCUCUUGCUCAGCCACAGCACAGACCAGCAUAACCGGACCAACGGCUGGGUGCUUGGGGCAAGUCUCCCUGCAGCGAAGGGAGGAGGAAUGAGUAAUGAUGCCUGGGACAGAGAAAGUAGUGGUGUCCCUGGGGGCCAUACCUGUCUAGACCCCAAUAUAGAGAAGGGACAGUUUCCAAGCCAGUGAAAACAGAGAUGGGUGGGAUGGACCCACAAGAGAUAUUGGAGGGAACAGGACAUAGUUUUGCAUAGUUGUUUGGGGAAAGAAGUCUUCAAAUGAGAGGGAAGCCCCAGAUCUAUGUGGAGAAAUAUUACAUCUUUUUUUUCCUUUCCUUCCAGAACCAAAGCAGUGAGAGUGGCUUUUAGAAAAUACAGAAACUGUAAACCCUGGUGUGGGGCUUGUUGGCAGUGGGUAGUGAGUGAAUGAAUAACCCAUUUAGGAUUAUAUUUUAGAUUUUGGAGUCUACAUAUAUUAGUCCAAUCUCUGCGCUCCUCCUCAAAUACUCCCCAAAGCUAUAGCCUGGAUGGACCAACACCACCCCAAAUUAAAGGAAGAAAGAAAUUCUGGACUAAUAGACUAAAGGAUUGACUCUCAUGAUUUGAGGAGUAAAUAAAAUGUCUCCCAGUAUUUCCCAGCUUAUCUUCCCCUCAGCUACCAUGAUCUUUUACUGCUAAUUUUUAAAACCUAAUUGCUUAAACAAACUGACCCCACUUCCUUAUUCCCCUCGCUCUUCAACCUGACUUUUGUCCCCAUCUCUCCUCCAAUAGAGUUCCUGCUAAUGACCUCCAUGUCACUAAAUGCAAUGAGCAUUUUUUCAGUCUUCAUCUUACUUGACCACUCAGCAGCAUUUUUUUUCUGUGACGCCUAAUGUCCCUCCUACCUUCCUAUCUCUUAUUUUUAGACUUAUCCUCUUUUCUUGAGACCUUUAAAGUUGGUGCCCCUCAAGAUUUAUUCCUAAACUUUUUCUCUUAAUCGACAUCCAUAGAUAUGGGAUGUCACCCCUACCCAUUUGAAGCUAUCAAAUUCCCUCAUUCAAUCAAACUUAUCAUACUAAUCAAACUUAACUCUUAUUCCCCCUUGCCCUCCCAUCCUCCAAUUCACUCUCCACAGUGUUAUUUUAAAGAAGUACUCUUGUCACUUCUCUGCCCUUGGAUAAAGACUGGCUUCUGCUUGCUUCUCCUACUGCACCACAUUCAGCUUCUAUCAACAUCCUCCUUUCAGUUCUUUCUCUUUCAAGGUCUUUGCUAAGGCAGUUACCUCUGCCUGGAAUAUUUCUACCAUUCUCUGUGCCCCCCACAACCUCAUCUAGUUCUUGCCUAAUCAUCCUUCAUGUUUUUGCCCAAAUGUUACUUCCUCAGGAAGGCUUCCUGACAACACCAAAAUAGAUCAAGUCCAUCUCUCACAUGCAGAGCCCCGUGAACUCUUCCUUUAAAGGCUUGUCACUGUUUAUAUGUAUUCGUGUGAUUAUUUAAUUAAUUCGUGUCUCUCGUAUUAGCUCCAGAAGGGGAGAUGCCUUGGCUGUUAGUUCUCUCUGCACCUCAGGAACCCAGGACAGAGAAUGAGUGAAGAAACCGAGGUCUUCCACAGUCAGAGGGCACGGGGAUGCUGGAGUACGCAUGGAAGGCUGGCAGGAGGUGAUGGGCCGGAGGGCUCCGGCAGGACCAGGCAACACCAGAUCUCUCUGAAAACAGAGGGGAGGAAUAAAACCAAAUGGACAAACAAACAAAAGAUGUCCCAGCUCAUUGCAAAAGAACAAGACGCUAUUUUAAAUACAAGCACAUUAAUAAAAAAAAUCUUGAUUCCAGAAAAGUUACACUGUCUUGCCUAAAAUCAUCUUGCCCUAUAGCCAAUGGUUUAGAGAAAUCAUGCUUUUCAAUGGGACCUCUAAAAAUAUAUACCAUUGUAUGGAUGGGAGAGUCUGUAAAGAGAAUUUAUACUAUAAUGAGUCAUUAUUUUAAAAAGCCCCAAUAUAUAAUCUGUGGCAUGUGUACAACAAAUGGUUAGAUUUCUUUUUGUUACUGAUAAAUUACUAAAAAGUCCAGCUUGUUCAAACAAAUGUUUUAUUGUUUUUACAAUUUUCCUCCUAAUUGAAAAACGGUCAAACAUUAAACAAUAUAUCUUCCACUGGGUGAAACAUAGUUGAACUUUAUUGUUUUUUGGCUGAGGAAGAUUGGCCCUGAGCUAACAUCUAUUGCCAAUCUUCCUCCUUUUGCUUGAGGAAGAUUCUCCUUGAACUAAUAUCUGUGUCAAUCUUCCUCUAUUUUGUAUGUGGGUCACUGCCACAGCAUGACUGAUGAACGGUUUAGGUCCAUGCCUGGGAACUGAAUCUAGGCUGCCGAAGCAGAGUGCGUUGAACUUAACAACUAGGCCACAGGGCCAGCCCCUUGAACUUUCUUUUUAAUCAACUCUACAACUGACACAGCUUGUCAUUGUUGAAUCCAUUUUUAGACACCCAGAAAUGGAUUCUUCCUGUGAGUGACAUCACACAGUUGGAUUGGAAGUUUCCUGUUCCAUCUCCAGAGGAGAUGACAGAGUGUGGCUUUAAGGAGAUACUGGGUAGGAAUAAUAUAAUUGAUUUUGUUUGAUGGUAAUCUGAGGUUUCCCCUGGCAGAAAGAUGUACAGAAGUGUGCUGUAAUAUUUAAGAAGCACAUAAUGCUUUCUAUCUCAGAACCACACUGAGAGAUUUAAGCUUGAGGCUCCUAUGAGGAGAAAAGCUGCCUUCAAAGAUCUCAGCUCCUUUUUCACUUUUUAUGUUUUUCCAGCAAAGAGCUCAAACUUGGUACUUCUACAAAUGCAUAUUUGUUAGCUGUAUUGUGACACAAUGUUUCCCAAAUUCAACUAAGGAAAAUGCCCUUCAGUCCUGUAAUGUUAAUACUCUUUCCCUUUUUAUGGCACCCACCGUCCAUUGCUACCCCUCAAUCUCGGCAGGGUUGAUUUAUUUUCCAGGGAUGUUUUCUCUCUUAGAUGACCACAGUUGAUGGUGGAUUAAUCCACUCACAUGAACUGUGCUAAAGUUUUAUAGGAAUUGUGGACAUUCUGGCAGGUAAGUAAUCAGAAACGCCCUUUGGCUCCCCUCAAAUACCAGGUGCAGACCUUGCCUCUUGGACUGAGAAGCCUUUCAGUGAGUCAGAAGAACAGGUAAUUGCAUUAAUCUUAUGUAAACCAGUCACCAGGAAACACUUGCUAUUUAUUCCACAAUCUAUUCUCCCUCUUUCAUCAUCACCAUUUGUGUUCCACCCAUACAGCAAAGCUCAUCUAAGAGAAAAAACAUUGCCAGCAGUAUUUACCUUCUGCUCAGCAUGAGAACAUUUGUCUUUGUGCAGUGAAUACGUCCAUUUAUAAGCAAACAGUAAUACUCUGGAAAGAAAAAUGAAGUAUGUUAAUAAACCAUUGUCCACACAAUAAAUACUGUUGUCUUUUCCUUAUAAAUGGGAUAUGGUUGACUCUGACACUGGACCAGACACUGGAAUUUGUUUUCCGUUAGUGAUGGUGGAUUUUCACAGAUACACCCACACUUGCUUGGCUCAUCGC